rnacentral:rRNA from 1 species
AUUGAACGCUGGCGGCAGGCCUAACACAUGCAAGUCGAACGGUAACAGGAAGAAGCUUGCUUCUUUGCUGACGAGUGGCGGACGGGUGAGUAAUGUCUGGGAAACUGCCUGAUGGAGGGGGAUAACUACUGGAAACGGUAGCUAAUACCGCAUAACGUCGCAAGACCAAAAAGGGGGACCUUCGGGCCUCUUGCCAUCGGAUGUGCCCAGAUGGGAUUAGCUAGUAGGUGGGGUAACGGCUCACCUAGGCGACGAUCCCUAGCUGGUCUGAGAGGAUGACCAGCCACACUGGAACUGAGACACGGUCCAGACUCCUACGGGAGGCAGCAGUGGGGAAUAUUGCACAAUGGGCGCAAGCCUGAUGCAGCCAUGCCGCGUGUAAGAAGAAGGCCUUCGGGUUGUAAAGUACUUUCAGCGGGGAGGAAGGGAGUAAAGUUAAUACCUUUGCUCAUUGACGUUACCCGCAGAAGAAGCACCGGCUAACUCCGUG